UUUUUUAUCUGCAAUGCUUCAAGGAGUCCGUUUAUUAAAAAUAUUAUAACCUGAUAUUAAAAUGACAGUUAAUCCCAUUUUUCUCAUACAUGAGGGAUUCUAGGUGGGUUUGAGUAACAAGUUAUAUAAAACACAGAUGUAAGUGAGUUGCUAGCUGACAUUGCAAUCGUUAUUAUCUACUUACACCACCUGACAAUUAAU